ensembl:lncRNA
ACACACAGACACACAGAGAGAGGGAGAGAGAGAGAGCCCGCAGGAAGAGUGACAUUACCUCUCCGGAGUUGAGACGUGUUGUGUUUUUUUCUCCUUGGCUGUUAGUCUUAUCUGGCUCCAGAGAGAGAUGAGCUGUUGCAGCUCUAUAGAGCCGUGGCCUGCUGAAAAGCUCUCACUCAGUAGAAACGUAUUUUUGGUACUAAAUGAAGCGGUCUUCAUUUGUUCCAACAAGCAGUGAAGCGUUGUGUGUGUGUGUGGGGUUCUGUGUGUGUGAUUGUGUUUGCACAUGCAUUGGUUAACAUUGCAGCUGUGUGUGUUUUUGUGUGUCCCACGUUUUUGUGUGUUCAAAAUGUUUGUGUGCGGCUGCUCACAAGCUCCAAUGUGUGAAAAUAUGCGUGUGUGUGAGUCAAAAAGUUUGUGCGUUUGUCUAGAAGGUUCUUUGUGCGUGUGUGUCUACGUGUUUCAAGAAGUGUGUGUGUGUGUGUGUAUGUCAAAAAGUUUGUGCGUUUGUCUAGAAGGUUCUUUGUGCGUGUGUGUCUACGUGUGUCAAGAAGUGUGUGUGUGUGAGUCAAGAAGUUAGUGUGUGCGUUGGUGUGUGUGUGCUUCCACAGCGUGCCUCGGAGCCGGUGCCGGCGGUGCAGUCGGUGGCGUAACGUUUG